rnacentral:rRNA from 1 species
CGCCUGUUUAACAAAAACAUUUCUUUUUGGUUGAAUGAAAAGUAUCUUCUGCCCUAUGAAUAUUUUAAAUGGCUGCAGUAUUUUGACUGUGCAAAGGUAGCAUAAUAAUUAGUUUCCUAAUUAGAAGCUUGAAUGAAUGGAUGUAUGAGAUUUAUGCUUUAUUUAUUUAACAAUAAGAAGUUAAAUUUUAAGUUAAAAUGCUUAAUUAAUUUGCUGGGACGAUAAGACCCUAUAGAAUUUGAAUUAAGUUAAUUUAAGAUAUUUUAUAUGAUUUUUUUACUUUUAUUUAUUUUUUGCUGGGGUGGCAGUUAAAUUUUAACUUUAAUUAUUUACUUCAUUAUUCAUGUAUAUUUGAUCCUUUUGGAAGUAAGACAAAAUUACCUUAGGGAUAACAGCGUAAUUUUAAUGGGGAGUUCAUAUCUAUAUUUAUUUUUGCGACCUCGAUGUUGAAUUAAGAAAAUUUUCAAGAAGCAGGU